CGCGCGCCACCGCGCAUGCGCGCCUCCAGAACGCACUUCCCGCCUUCGCUCGCCGCGCAGCGCCAUCCGCAUCCCCGCAACGAUCCUCUUCUGAGCAUCAGCUGCAGGAGAGAUGACUGACAGCUCAACCCAGUAGAGACCAGCCACAGGCGGUGACAGCCUGAAGGCAGGCCACAAGAGACCCAAAGCUGCCUCGUGCCAGGGGGGCAGCUCUGUUCAGCAGGAAACGGCGCAUCCCAGCGGACCAGAUGCGAGCGGCCCACCUGCAAGCGAGCGAUACCCUGGCGAUCCUGGGGCUCUGUUGGGGUGGGGCGCACCUUUCCUCACCUCUGUGCUAUCACAACUCUGCUCUCCUAAUCCUGCACGCACGCAAGGCUUCUUGUGCGGGGCUUGUCUCUUAUCGAAGAGACGCUGCACGGUGUUACUUACCGCCCCGCCCUCCGGCGUGCAAAGUAAUUAGACGUGAAGCAGGGAAAGCAAAGCGGCGCGUCGGGAUAGUAGAUGUUCUCGGCAGAUGACCGCAGAGCCCUCGAGGUUCCAUCUUUGCUCCCUACAGGAGCGUGGCUCCGCACCCCUUGCCGCUCCCCCCAGCAAGCGUCACAAUUGCCCUUUGCUGUCUGCAACGUGCAGCACCUGCACGGCCCGAGUACUGCUGCUUACGGAGCAAGAGGCGCUCGCUAUAAAGCGGCAAUGAAGAACAAGGACGGCCCGUCAAGAUGGCAGGAGGAACGCAGAGAGCCUCCAGCAUUAGCCAGGCAGGGCUUGCGACUCACCUCGUGUCGUGGUCUAACGCCAGCCGGCAACGAAGCCCCACGCGACCGCUCACUCGCUCCCCCGCCGCCAGUGGGACGGGGAGACAAUCGGAAGGGCGAAAGUGAGAAAACUCGUGGCUGGAAACGAAAAGAGUUUAAUCAUUAAAAAGAAACAACAGCAA